rnacentral:rRNA from 1 species
CCUACGGGAGGCAGCAGUGGGGAAUAUUGCACAAUGGGGGAAACCCUGAUGCAGCGACGCCGCGUGAGUGAAGAAGUAUCUCGGUACGGAAAGCUCUAUCAGCAGGGGAGAAAAUGACGGUACCUGACUAAGAAGCCCCGGCUAACUCCGUGCCAGCAGCCGCGGUAAUACGUAGGGGGCAAGCGUUAUCCGGAAUGACUGGGCGUAAAGGGUGCGUAGGUGGUUUAGUAAGUUGGCGGUGGAAUUUCGGGGCUCAACCUUGACGCUACCGGCAAAACUAUUAGACUAGAGUGCAGGAGGGGUAAGUGGAAUUCCUGGUGUAGCGGUGGAAUGCGUAGAUAUUAGGAGGAACACCAGGGGCGAAGGCGACUUACUGGACUGUCACUGACACUGAGGCACGAAAGCGUGGGGAGCAAACAGGAUUAGAUACCCGGGUAGUC